GGAGGAAUUAGCUCAGCGUGGGAGAGACUGCCUUACAUAGCAGGGGGGUCGGCGGUUCGAUCCCGUCAUCCUCCACCA
rnacentral:tRNA from 1 species